UACGUAGGGACCAAGCGUUGUUCGGAUUUACUGGGCGUAAAGGGCGCGUAGGCGGCGUGGUAAGUCAGCUGUGAAAUCUCCGAGCUUAACUCGGAGCGGUCAGCUGAUACUGCUGUGCUAGAGUACAGAAAGGGCAAUCGGAAUUCUUGGUGUAGCGGUGAAAUGCGUAGAUAUCAAGAGGAACACCUGAGGCGAAGGCGGCCAAUUGGCCCAACACUGACGCUGAGAUACGAAAGCGUGGGGAUCAAACAGG
rnacentral:rRNA from 1 species